UACGUAGGGGGCGAGCGUUGUCCGGAGUUACUGGGCGUAAAGCGCUUGUAGGCGGUCCACCAAGUUUGGGGUGACAGUUGCCGACUUAAUCGGCAAAGUGCCUCAAAGACUGGCGGACUUGAGGGCCACAGAGGGACAUGGAACUCCAGGUGUAGUGGUGAAAUGCGCAGAUAUCAGGAGGAACACCGGUGGCGAAGGCGGGUCUCUGGGCCGAUACUGACGCUGAGGAGCGAAAGCGUGGGGAGCGAACAGG
rnacentral:rRNA from 1 species